UUUCAAUUGACAAUCAGAAAAAGUGUGGCGUAGCAUAUAGAAAAGGCGGAAGUGAAAUGAUUACUAUUUGAAUAAAUAUGAAUCAUUAACAGUGCAUAUUCUUACAAUUCUUAAAACGUUGUCUAAACCCUUAAAGCAUCGGCAGCGAUAACCCGCAUAAUCAAAUACUGUACACUGAAUCCUCAAUAUCAUUCAGUUCUGAUUACCAUAAUAGUGACUAUAUGUUUUAUCGUCCUUAAACAGUCCAAUUUUUCAUAAAAUUUCUAUGUUUGAUGCGCCUUCGCUAGAAAUAAUAAUUGAACUAUUACUGGAAGAUACUGUUUGUGAUCUCAAAACGAAAUCCUGCGGAAUCAGAUAUGUGUCCUCACUGUGAAUUGCAUCAUUCACUCACAAACAAAAUAAAAAUGGCGUGUUAGGAAUAGGAAUCGCGUUCGAAAAAUAUUUUCUCGGGUGGAAAAGUUUUAUUUAGUCAGAAAGUAAGCUGGAAAACGAAAAUUUAAAACAGGAAACAGGUACUGAUGGAGCCGACCGAAAAAGUUUCAGGUACCAUUUCCAGGUGAUAGCUCAAGCAGAUAUGGUGGCAGAGAUUCCUAGCUCCUUUUCAUAGGAAGUACAACAUCGCUUACCCUGGCCGAUCCGCAAUCCAAGCUGAUAGAUCUGGACGUGUGUCGUUGUCGGAUGAUCAACCUUGCAUAGAAGCGUAGCCUUGUUCCGGUAGUAUCAGGUCCGCUCAAUUCCGAAACUAACUUCUAGAAGAGCAAUGAGUUCGAGACCGGAAUUCGAGGAAGCAACGAUCCUUGCAAAAUCGGUUCUGCUCUUGAGCAAACUGCAGCUAAAAUCAAAAAAAUGAUUGGAGUACCUACAAACGAGCAGCCCAAUUUCUAAAGGUUCACAUCCUCCAGGAAUCCCAAAACCGAGCCAUUCUUGGCGAUUCUGCUGUGCGACAGCCGUUUAUUCAACCCACGAGGGCCGAAAAAAAAUCAACACUCCUCCGGUUUUUCAACCACGAUUGCGAUCACGGGUAUCAGCCGUCAUUGAAAGUACCAUCAGCACCACCACCAGCGGCAACAGCACCACCACCGAAUGAGACAUCGACUGGAAGCGUUCUUUAGCAUCUUCAGCAGUUGCCACAAUCAUGAUUAUUUUUUCUUCUCCCACGGCGGAUGUGCAGAGAACUUGGGAUGACGACAAAGGAACCGUUUUCGCCGAGUUUGAGCUUGCAAGCAGGCUCCGCACAUCCAACAUUCUGUGGCAUCUAGUGGAAUCGAAAGCAACGUCACAGCUAUCACCAGAUAAGCCGUCGUUCCCAUGUUUGAGCUUGCACAUCCAACAUUUUGUGUCAUCAACUUGAACCGAAGAGACCAAAGACGACACAGCUACCACCAAAUAGUGUUGAUGGUUCAGGUUAAAUGGUAUUCAAUCGCAACAAGAAAUUUCCAACUGUGAAGAAGUCAUGGCUGCUGCUGUCAAUUGUGUAUAGCGGGGAUCCCGCACUGAUCGUAUCAGCAUCACCACCACCAGCGGAAACAGCAGCACCACCAAAUUCAUCAUCGGACAACCACGAAGCGUUCCCAUCAUAACGACAAGAAGCGAACCAGCAGCAGCGGAAGUAGAAGUCACAAUGGAAUAAUAUGGAUAUGAUGGAGGCUCCAAUGAUUCGAUUAUGGAUUAAAUGAUGCAAUUCUCCAAUGGUUUCAGGAAAUCGACUAGGUAUCGAGAGUAGCUCAAAUCGUUCAAAGUAAGUACAUCGCCAGAGGUUGAGCUAAAAAUUGCACAUAGUUAGCAGGAAAUGAGAAUUUAAUCGAACAAUGAAUACCAACGAGCAAAUGGGCCUAAUCCAAUGAGGUUGGUUCGUUCCGAAGACGAUGUUUACUACAAAUCCGAAACCCGAAGCAGCAGGUUUCGGUUACCUCGUGCUCCCCGCCACAACUGAAUUGAAAUCCGUUGGUUGCCAGUGAUUGACGAAGGCUAUUCGGCUACGGCUUUACUGGAAUAAUUUAGCUAAGGAUUCUGAGCUAAAAGAGCGUGCGAGGAGUUGACAUCGUUUGGUCGCGUUUUUGCUUGUUUGCCGAUGGAAUCGCGGUAAAAUGUUGAUCUUGAGUACGCUGUUUAGAGUUACCGAUCCUGUACUAGCUGUAGUUGCAUAUUUCUGCACCCAUCGGAAAGAUAAAUUCUGACUAUGUAGCUUUGUUUACUGCUUUAAGGGUAAGCUAGGGGCCGUUCAAAUAUUACGUUACGCAAUUUUCAGUCAUUUUCAACCCCCCACCCCCCUACGUAACACAUUCGUCUCGAAUUUUCUAUCUUAAAUCCA